UGGGGAAUAUUGCACAAUGGGCGCAAGCCUGAUGCAGCCAUGCCGCGUGUAUGAAGAAGGCCUUCGGGUUGUAAAGUACUUUCAGCGGGGAGGAAGGUGUUGUGGUUAAUAACCACGGCAAUUGACGUUACCCGCAGAAGAAGCACCGGCUAACUCCGUGCCAGCAGCCGCGGUAAUACGGAGGGUGCAAGCGUUAAUCGGAAUUACUGGGCGUAAAGCGCACGCAGGCGGUCUGUCAAGUCGGAUGUGAAAUCCCCGGGCUCAACCUGGGAACUGCAUCCGAAACUGGCAGGCUUGAGUCUUGUAGAGGGGGGUAGAAUUCCAGGUGUAGCGGUGAAAUGCGUAGAGAUCUGGAGGAAUACCGGUGGCGAAGGCGGCCCCCUGGACAAAGACUGACGCUCAGGUGCGAAAGCGUGGGGAGCAAACA
rnacentral:rRNA from 1 species